ACUCGUCUGUUAACUACCUUCAGGGAAUAUAUUUUUCAUAUAAAAUCAAUCUCUUUAUUUCUAUCUGACAAAAUGUCCUAGACUCUGAGUAAAUUAAAAUCUGACUCGGAAACCACACAUUAAUAAGCGGUGAAUCAUUCAGAAACUGAGAUCUCUCUUGCAGCUUUUCCUGUUAAAUCUCACUGCUACGUGACAAGAGAUUUAUGCUGAAUCACUCCAACUCGGCAUUUCUGAAAAAAAAGGAAGUAACUUCAGGAUUAUCUUACACUAACAGCCGGCUGAUUGCUUCAUUUUGGGAGCAUCAAGCUUGGAAAAACGCUCUGUGCCUGAAAACUUGGGAUUACACUCUUCCAGGAUUGGAAUCUCAUGGGUGACCAGAACGGGACACAGUAUUCUAGAAAAUGCCUCA